rnacentral:rRNA from 1 species
AUUGAACGCUGGCGGCAGGCUUAACACAUGCAAGUCGAACGAGUGGCGGACGGGUGAGUAAUGCUUGGGAAUCUGGCUUAUGGAGGGGGAUAACUACGGGAAACUGUAGCUAAUACCGCGUACCAUAGGAUGAGCCCAAGUGGGAUUAGGUAGUUGGUGAGGUAAAGGCUAACCAAGGCGACGAUCUCUAGCUGGUCUGAGAGGAUGAGCGGCCACACUGGGACUGAGACACGGCCCAGACGCCUACGGGAGGCAGCAGUAGGGAAUAUUUGGCAAGGGAGGAAAGUCUGACGCAGCAAUGCCGCGUGAGUGAAGAAGGCUUUCGGAUUGUAAAGCUCUGUCGUUAGAGAAGCGUUAUCUUAAGAGGAAGCACCGGCUAACUACGUGCCAGCAGCCGCGGUAAUUC